rnacentral:rRNA from 1 species
UGCCUAACAGCUAGCCCACCCAAACAAUUUCAACAAACCCCUGUUAAUAACCCCUAAGUACCCCAGUAUUUAUUUUAAACAAACCAUUUUUCCCCCUUAGUAUAGGCGAUAGAAAAGGGCCCACGGCGCAAUAGAGAAAGUACCGCAAGGGAACGCUGAAAGAGAAGUGAAACAACCCAGUAAAGCCUAAAAAAGCAGAGAUCUAAACUCGUACCUUUUGCAUCAUGAUUUAGCAAGUGUAACCCAAGCAAAGCGUACUUUAGUUUGACGUCCCGAAACUAGGUGAGCUACUCCAAGACAGCCUAUCAAUAGGGCGUACCCGUCUCUGUGGCAAAAGAGUGGGGAGAGCUUUGAGUAGAGGUGACAAACCUACCGAACCUAGUUAUAGCUGGUUGUCCAAGAAAUGAAUAGAAGUUCAGCCUUUCAGCUUCUCUUUUCACCUUAGUCUGACCCCUAUUGAUGCAUUAAAGAAACCGAAAGAGUUAGUCAAAGGGGGUACAGCCCCUUUGAAUCAAGACACAACUUUACCAGGAGGGUAAAGAUCAUAAUAAUUAAAGCUAAAUGUUCUGGUGGGCCUAAAAGCAGCCAUCCCCUUAGAAAGCGUUAAAGCUCAGACAUGCGACCAUACUUCUUAUCCUGAUCACUUAAUCUUACCCCCCUAACCGUACUGGACCAUCCCAUGCCAACAUGGGAGUGACUAUGCUGAAAUGAGUAAUAAGAGAGCUACCGGCUCUCUCCCUGCACACGUGUAUAUCGGAACGGACAACCCACCGAACCUUAACGGCCCCAAAUAAAGAGGGCAGUGGAUGUUAGACCAAAAAACUAGAAAAAUAUCCAAAAACCAACCGUUAAACCCACACAGGUGUGCCCCCAGGGAAAGACUAAAAGAA